GCCUCAGUCUCCCGAGUAGCUGGGAUUACAGAUACACUGAAGAGAGGUCACAGGGAGAGAGACAGGAAACCAGCGAUGGACCCCAGUAGAAGGACAGGGUGGACGAUGCUUAGGAAGAUCAUGACGACUCUGCUUUCAUUUCCCACAUCCCUAUCCCGCCAGAGGUGAAAAUCAGAGAGGACUUAGUUGGAUGCAUUCUGGACACAAACGCUCUGAAGCUAAUAAAAUUCAAUAUAAUUGGCCCAUCCAAUUAUGUUAGAAUCUAAUAAAAUGUAGUUGUAUAUAUAUAUGACAACAGAAAUCAUCUAGACUGAGACGUCAUUAUUCCGUUUGUGAGAAAAACGAGGCUCCUGAGAUGUAAGGAUCCACCCAAACCACUCAGCAAGUUGGACACACCUGAGGCCUCAUUCCAGCACUGAGUUAAUUUUGUCAAAUCAACUGGUUUCUUGCUUUGAGCAAUUUAAAUAUAUAAAUGACUACAGUAUUGUCAAUAAGUACCAGGAAAACGCAAAAUCAUAAAGCUUAAAGAGAAAUAGAUUUGAGGAAAAUUUCCUGUUGGGAAAAUUGUAAUUAUUAAUAUACUUUAAGAAAAUUAGUUUUAUGGUUAAGAGGAUACUUUAUAAGAAUAAAAUUACUUAAAAGUCACAGUUCUGUGAAAGAUUCUGAUUCGUAACUGUUAAGACUUACUCAAAGUUAUAUUGUGGGGUAGUAAAUUAUUUGCCUGAAUUUAAAAAUUUUGAUGAAAAACCGGAAAAGGAGCAAACUUACAAAAACAAAACAACAAAUAUCAGGGAAAACUCAGGAAGCAUAAUUUGAGUUGACCUUGCCUUUGUACAGUACUGGUAUUUUGUUCCAGUGGGAUUUUAGGAAAAAAGUUUAAAA
rnacentral:lncRNA from 1 species